rnacentral:rRNA from 1 species
UACGAAGGGGACUAGCGUUGUUCGGAUUUACUGGGCGUAAAGCGCGCGUAGGCGGAUCGCUAAGUCAGGGGUGAAAUCCCAGGCUCAACCCUGGAACUGCCUUUGAUACUGACGAUCUGGAGAUCGGGAGAGGUUGGUGGAAUUCCGAGUGUAGAGGUGAAAUUCGUAGAUAUUCGGAGGAACACCAGAAGCGAAGGCGGCCAACUGGCCCGAUACUGACGCUGAGACGCGAAAGCGUGGGGAGCAAACAGG